UAAGGAAUAUUGGACAAUGGACGCAAGUCUGAUCCAGCCAUGCCGCGUGAAGGAUGAAUGCCCUCUGGGUUGUAAACUUCUUUUACAGGGGAAGAAAGUUAUCUUUUUCAGGAUAUUUGACGGUACCCUAUGAAUAAGCACCGGCUAACUCCGUGCCAGCAGCCGCGGUAAUACGGAGGGUGCAAGCGUUAUCCGGAUUCACUGGGUUUAAAGGGUGCGUAGGCGGGUAUGUAAGUCAGUGGUGAAAUACCGGAGCUUAACUUCGGAACUGCCAUUGAUACUAUAUAUCUUGAAUAUUGUGGAGGUAAGCGGAAUAUGUCAUGUAGCGGUGAAAUGCUUAGAGAUGACAUAGAACACCGAUUGCGAAGGCAGCUUGCUACGCAAAUAUUGACGCUGAGGCACGAAAGCGUGGGGAUCAAACAGGAUUAGAUACCCUGGUAGUCCACGCCCUAAACGAUGAUUACUCGACAUUAGCGAUACACAGUUAGUGUCUGAGCGAAAGCAUUAAGUAAUCCACCUGGGAAGUACGACCGCNAGGUUG
rnacentral:rRNA from 1 species